rnacentral:rRNA from 1 species
GACGAACGCUGGCGGCAUGCCUAAUACAUGCAAGUCGAGCGAACAGGUGAAGUGCUUGCACUUUUGACGUUAGCGGCGAACGGGUGAGUAACACGUAAGGAAUCUACCUAUAAGCGGGGGAUAACAUUCGGAAACGGGUGCUAAUACCGCAUAAUAUCUUCUUCCGCAUGGAAGAAGAUUGAAAGACGGCUCUGCUGUCACUUAUAGAUGACCUUGCGGUGCAUUAGUUAGUUGGUGGGGUAACGGCCUACCAAGACGAUGAUGCAUAGCCGACCUGGGAGGGGGAUCGGCCACAUUGGAACUGGGACACGGCCAAAACUCCUACGGGGGGCAGCAGUAGGGAAUCUUCCGCAAGGGGCGAAAGCCUGACGGAGCAAUGCCGCGUGAGUGAAGAAGGCCUUCGGGUCGUAAAACUCUGUUAUAAGAGAAGAACAAAUUGUCGAGUAACUGCUACAGUCUUGACGGUAUCUUAUCAGAAAGCCACGGCUAACUACGUGCCAGCCGCCGCAGUAA